GACGAACGCUGGCGGCGUGCCUAAUACAUGCAAGUAGAACGCACAGUUUAUACCGUAGCUUGCUACACCAUAGACUGUGAGUUGCGAACGGGUGAGUAACGCGUAGGUAACCUGCCUGGUAGCGGGGGAUAACUAUUGGAAACGAUAGCUAAUACCGCAUAAUAUUGAUUAUUGCAUGAUAAUUGAUUGAAAGAUGCUAUUGCAUCACUACCAGAUGGACCUGCGUUGUAUUAGCUAGUAGGUGAGGUAACGGCUCACCUAGGCGACGAUACAUAGCCGACCUGAGAGGGUGAUCGGCCACACUGGGACUGAGACACGGCCCAGACUCCUACGGGAGGCAGCAGUAGGGAAUCUUCGGCAAUGGACGAAAGUCUGACCGAGCAACGCCGCGUGAGUGAAGAAGGUUUUCGGAUCGUAAAGCUCUGUUGUAAGAGAAGAACGGGUGCGAGAGUGGAAAGUUCACACUGUGACGGUAUCUUACCAGAAAGGGACGGCUAACUACGUG
rnacentral:rRNA from 1 species